UCUACAAGCAGGUGCGCCGCCCCCCUCUGCCGUCCACUUCUACAAGCAGGACACGGAGGUGGUGAGUGACCGCGCCAGAGGUGUCCUAGUGACGAAGGACUCGUUGGUGCUGCAGCGCGUCACCGCCGCGGCGUCCGGCGAAUAUUCCUGUCGAGCGGACAACUCCCGCGGCUCCGACCACAGCAACCGACACGCUCUACACGUCAAGUUUGCCCCUCGCUGUCGGUGGGAGCAG